GCCUGUUUGAACUCCAGGCAGUUGACCAGCAUCAGCAGCUCUGCCUCCCACUGCCCUGUUGUUGUUGUGUUCCUGCCAGGUGGACACUCGUGGGUCAGUCCGCAGGGGUUAGCCUCCACGUGACGACCGGAAGGAAACGUGACGCUGAUUUGAAGCGCAUCCCGGAAGUUGUGACGUAAGAGGCACCUGGCUGAGAGCUUUUUGUGGGUUACGAAAGGAAAAAAGGGGAAGCCGGUGCAUAUCACCACCCCGGGACGGACGAGGACGCCACUAAAACUUACCGGCGCUUUGGUGGAAAAAGCCUCCGUUAAGUGGGCUCAUUUGAGCAGGAAAACGCUGAACACCAUCUGUGUUUUCUACCUGUCAACUGUCAGGUUAGCCCGCUCGCCGGCUCCUCAUCACCACUUCAAGAUGGCGGCCACAUUUCUGGCGUCACAGCAGCCAAUGCUGUGUCUACUUCUAGGAUGUCUAUGGGUGAAAGCAGCACAGCACUUGAACUUUGCCCAGGUUGACAGACAUAAUUAACCACCAAACGUUGAAAUGUAAUAUAUCUUCGUAAACAUGUGUUCAAAGAAAAAAAACAAGUGUUAACUUCUUGGUUUAAUCUCGCCGGCAUUUAUGAUUGGCUAGAAAGAGUCAAUAGGACUCACGAAGGUGGGACUUCUGUUAUUAUAUUUAAUACUCUAUCUGUAUUUGCUUUUACAACUAAAGCAGGGCUGUCAAACUCAAACACAGAGUGGGACAAAAUGUAAAAGUGAACAAAGCCGCGGGCCGAGGUUGAACAAAUGAACCUUUUAAUAGGAACCCCAACAAGUUUUGCAUUGAAUAUUGAACAAGCAAGGCUUAUAUAACUUUAUAGUGACAUGCAAAAUCCAGUUUCAAAUAAUAAUAAUAAUUUAAAAAUAUCAAUAGCAUAUCAAAUAAACAUUUAAUAAAAAUUGAAUGCCUCUUUUCGGCAAUGGGGUUGAGGUGGACGAGGUUUGGUGAUAGCGGAGGUGUAUAUUGUAGCAUCCCAGAAGUGUUAGUGCUGCAAGGCCUUCUGGGUAUUUGUUCUGUUGUGUUUAUGUUGUGUUACAAUGCGGAUGUUCUCUCAAAAUGUGUCAUUCUUGUUUGGUGUGGGUGCACAGUGUGGCGAAUAUUUGUAACAGUGUUAAAUAAAUAAUAAAUGAUAAAUGGGUUGUACUUGUAUAGCGCUUUUCUACCUUCAAGGUACUAAAGUUGUUUAUACAGCCACCCUCAGUGUGACCUAUAUGGCUGUUGACCAAGUUUGCAUGGUAUUCACUUGUGUGUGUGUGUGUGUAAGUCGCAUAUAUUAUGUGACUGGGCCGGCACGCUGUUUGUAUGGAGGAAAAGCGGACGUGGAGACAGGUUGUAGAGAACGCCAAAGGCAGUGCCUUUAAAGCCCACCCCAAAUAUUGUUGUCCCGGAUCAACUUCGGGAGUCUCCCAGGAAAAUCGGGAGUGUUGUCAAGUAUGAGUAUUAGCGGUGAAUGCGGCGUUAUAAUACCGGCGGGCCAGCUCUAAUGUUCUUUUGAUAUUGCCUCAAGGGCCAAGUGAAAUGACAGCCAUGAUCUAAACAUUAAAGCCGACAUGUAAUUAACAGUUUAACACGAAUGUUUAAGGGAAGAGAAACAAUUUUUUAAAAUAUUGCUCUACAACAUCCUGGUUUCGCCUCUUUGGCUCACGAGACAAUUACCGGUUAUUGUGAUUGGUUAAAAAAGAGCCAUUGGGAAGUAAGAAGGCGGGACUUCCGUUUUAUUACCUUUUCAUGUAAUGCAUUUGUUUUAUGAUAUAACAUACACAUUUUACAACUUUAGGAUCAUUUAAGAUAAAAAGAUGAAAUCAAGUCUUUAUUCACAUCUCACCUGACAAUCACCCUCUGUAACAGCUUGGUUGAUUCAUAAAUAUAGCGUGUUUACAAAAUAAUAUAUAGAAAAAGACACUUGCAUGUGAGGAAGUACUCUCAUAAUAUCACAGCUACUAGUCACAAAGUACUCCAGUCUUUCAUAACAAUAUCACAAGUCCAUCCAGUCAUCCUAGACUAAACACUGUUCUUUAGUAGUCCAUCUCAUACAUAAAGCACUUUCAGUGGCAAACCCUGUUUUAAAAUA